AUUGAACGCUGGCGGCAGGCCUAACACAUGCAAGUCGAGCGAGUGGCGGACGGGUGAGUAAUGUCUGGGAAACUGCCUGAUGGAGGGGGAUAACUACUGGAAACGGUAGCUAAUACCGCAUACCAUCGGAUGUGCCCAGAUGGGAUUAGCUAGUAGGUGGGGUAAUGGCUCACCUAGGCGACGAUCCCUAGCUGGUCUGAGAGGAUGACCAGCCCAACUGGAACUGAGACACGGUCCAGACUCCUACGGGAGGCAGCAGUGGGAAAUAUUGCACAAUGGGCGCGAGCCUGAUGCAGCCAUGCCGCGUGUGUGAAGAGGGCCUUCGGGUUGUAAAGGACUUUCAGCGAGGAGGCGUUACCCGCAGAAGAAGCACCGGCUAACUCCGUGCCAGCAGCCGCGGUAAUUC
rnacentral:rRNA from 1 species